rnacentral:rRNA from 1 species
GACGCUCAUGCACGAAAGCGUNNGGAGCAAACAGGAUUAGAUACCCUGGUAGUCCACGCCCUAAACGAUGUCUACUAGUUGUCGGGUCUUAAUUGACUUNNNAACGCAGCUAACGCGUGAAGUAGACCGCCUGGGGAGUACGGUCGCAAGAUUAAAACUCAAAGGAAUUGACGGGGACCCGCACAAGCGGUGGAUGAUGUGGAUUAAUUCGAUGCAACGCGAAAAACCUUACCUACCCUUGACAUGUCAGGAACCUCCGAGAGAUCGGAGGGUGCCCGAAAGGGAGCCUGAACACAGGUGCUGCAUGGCUGUCGUCAGCUCGUGUCGUGAGAUGUUAGGUUAAGUCCCGCAACGAGCGCAACCCUUGUCAUUAGUUGCUACGAAAGGGCACUCUAAUGAGACUGCCGGUGACAAACCGGAGGAAGGUGGGGAUGACGUCAAGUCCUCAUGGCCCUUAUGGGUAGGGCUUCACACGUCAUACAAUGGUACAUACAGAGGGCCGCCAACCCGCGAGGGGGAGCUAAUCCCAGAAAGUGUAUCGUAGUCNNGAUCGCAGUCUGCAACUCGACUGCGUGAAGUUGGAAUCGCUAGUAAUCGCGGAUCAGCAUGCCGCNNNNNNNNNNNUCCCGGGUCUUGUACACACCGCCCGUCACACCAUGGGAGCGGGUUUUACCAGAAGUAGGUAGCUUAACCGCAAGGAGGGCGCUUACCACGGUAGGAUUCGUGAUUAAGGGGAAGUCGUAACAAGGUAACCA